rnacentral:rRNA from 1 species
CCUACGGGAGGCAGCAGUGGGGAAUAUUGGACAAUGGGCGAAAGCCUGAUCCAGCCAUGCCGCGUGUGUGAAGAAGGCCUUCGGGUUGUAAAGCACUUUCAGUGGGGAAGAAAGCCUUGGGGCUAAUACCCUCGAGGAAGGACAUCACCCACAGAAGAAGCACCGGCUAACUCCGUGCCAGCAGCCGCGGUAAUACGGAGGGUGCGAGCGUUAAUCGGAAUUUCUGGGCGUAAAGCGCGCGUAGGCGGUCUGAUAAGCCGGUUGUGAAAGCCCCGGGCUCAACCUGGGAACGGCAUCCGGAACUGUCAGGCUAGAGUGCAGGAGAGGAAGGUAGAAUUCCCGGUGUAGCGGUGAAAUGCGUAGAGAUCGGGAGGAAUACCAGUGGCGAAGGCGGCCUUCUGGACUGACACUGACGCUGAGGUGCGAAAGCGUGGGUAGCAAACAGGAUUAGAUACCCCAGUAGUC